GCGGGAGUAACAUAAUGGUAAUGUGUCUGCCUUCCAAGCAGAGGAUGAGGGUUCGAUUCCCUUCUCCCGCUCCA
rnacentral:tRNA from 2 species